CAGACGAGGAGCUUGCUCCUCUGACGUUAGCGGCGGACGGGUGAGUAACACGUGGAUAACCUACCUAUAAGACCGGGAUAACUUCGGGAAACCGGAGCUAAUACCGGAUAAUAUAUUGAACCGCAUGGUUCAAUAGUGAAAGACGGUUUUGCUGUCACUUAUAGAUGGAUCCGCGCCGCAUUAGCUAGUUGGUAAGGUAACGGCUUACCAAGGCAACGAUGCGUAGCCGACCUGAGAGGGUGAUCGGCCACACUGGAACUGAGACACGGUCCAGACUCCCACGGGAGGCAGCAGUAGGGAAUCUUCCGCAAUGGGCGAAAGCUUGACGGAGCAACGCCGCGUGAGUGAUGAAGGUCUUCGGAUCGUAAAACUCUGUUAUUAGGGAA
rnacentral:rRNA from 1 species